CCUACGGGUGGCAGCAGUGAGGAAUAUUGGUCAAUGGCCGGAAGGCUGAACCAGCCAUGCCGCGUGAAGGUCAGUGCCCUAUGGGCGUUAAACUUCUUUUGUGCGGGAGCAAUAAUGGGCACGUGUGGCCAGACGAGAGUACCGUACGAAUAAGCAGCGGCGAACUCCGUGCCAGCAGCCGCGGUCAUACGGGGGAUGCAAGCGUUCUCCGGCUUUAUUGGGGUUAAAGGGGGCGUAGGCUGUGCGGUAAGUCAGCGGUGCAUUGCCCCCGCUCAACGGGGUGAAGUGCCAUUGAUACUGCCUUGCUGGACUGCGGCUGCCGUGGGCUGAAUGUGUGGUGUAGCGGUGAAAUGCAUAGAUAUCACACAGAACACCGAUUGCGACGGCAUCUCACGAAUCCGCGAUUGACGCUGAUGCACGAACGCGUGGGUAUCAAACAGGAUUAGAUACCCCUGUAGUC
rnacentral:rRNA from 1 species